rnacentral:lncRNA from 1 species
UUCACAAAAAAUUAUAGUUAAACAAAUGAGUGAGAGGAGAGGUUAGAGCAUAAAAAAAUAGAGAGAGAGUGAGUGACGUACCAUAACAAUAGGCGAGUUCUAUAUAUGUAUUAAAGGAGAAAUCGCUUCUUCUUGAUGAGAUAAGUCGUUUCUUUCUCUUUUUAUUUAUUCCUUUUAGUUUUUUGGUGUCCUUAGACUAUUUAUAAUUGAAAGAUUAACUCUUAAAUUAAUGCUGCAAGUUCCAGAACUUAGAACCGUAGCUGCUGCACGUGAACAAAGACUCUGUUCAGGUAGGCGUCUGAUUUUUAUUCCAAUUCCUUUCCUGUUUUGUUUUUUUUUUUAUAAAUUUGUAAUCAAUCUUUAAAAUGUGUUAGAAAUGUUAGAAUUUAUUUUCAAAUAAAAAAAUAAAUCACAAAUUCAAAUCUAACUCAAAAAACAUCACUCAACUUUAUAUGCACAAUCACACUAAAUUGCAGAAAAAAUCUUCAAAAUUUCAACAAUUCUUUUGUGUGAUUUAACUUCUGUCUCAUGCAUUUAUCAAGUAAGAUGGGUGAUAUUUUAAAUUAUACAAAAAUGACCUUCAUGGAUUAAUUUGCAUAUGGUAAACUCUUUUAAAAAUCAAAACUAAAUGAUGUUUUAAAUAGAGAGAGUAAGUAUUAUUUACAUUUUUGUGCUGAUUUUUAUUUAUUGAUUUUAUGAGUUUUAACCAUUAAUUGUUAUAUUGAUUUAGUAACAAUUAAAAGAUGAAUAAUUAUUAGCAAAACUAAAAAAAAAAAGACAAAAAACAUAAGCUCCUCAUGAAUAAUUUAUUUUUAUUUUAAUACCACCAGCUCAAUUACCUUACCCAAUUUUCAUCUCAUAAUACACUUAUCGAUUUUACAAUUUAACUUUUACAAAUUUCUAUUUUUUCCCCAUUUUUAUUAAAUUUUCUUUCUUGGUUCUUCCCAAAGAUCUCAACAUCUCCAACUGUCCAGCCAAUGGAAAAGUUCCCAUGCUGGGCCCUUGCCCUAGUGGGCUUUCGUGAAGGCUCCUCGGUAUGAUUUCAUGUCGGUCGAACCAGCACGGUCAACUAGCCUAUUGCACAAGCAAUUGCCCCAAGGAAAACAGACUCUGUGUAAUGGCACACUGCCAGUUUUCCAUCUUUGGCAUUCACAGAUGCCCGGAUCAUCUCUGCACCCUCUGACUUGGCAUAUGCAUUUCUACACCAUGCCAGAGAAGUCCUAGGCCCCAAAAAAUGUUCCUUCUGUGAACUAGUACUGCAGAACAGCACUGCAUAACCACAAGGCACUUUGGUGUCCGAAAUUCUGAUAAAAAACAUAUCAACUUCUAUUUUUUGUCCAUUUCUUCUUAGUUUUACUAAUAAUUAUUCAUCAUUUAAU